rnacentral:rRNA from 1 species
UACAGAGGGGGCGAGCGUUGUUCGGAAUUACUGGGCGUAAAGGGCGCGUAGGCGGGCUGGCAAGUCAGGGGUGAAAGCCCACGGCUCAACCGUGGAAGUGCCUUUGAUACUGCCGGCCUGGAGGGAGGUAGGGGCGUGCGGAACUUCCGGUGGAGCGGUGAAAUGCGUAGAUAUCGGAAGGAACACCGGUGGCGAAAGCGGCGCGCUGGACCUCUUCUGACGCUGAGGCGCGAAAGCCAGGGGAGCAAACGGG